UCAGGGAGCCCCGGACCUGCUGGAGCUGGACUCCGGCCUCCAGCCAGGCGUGCCCAAGGGUCACUGUUUCGGAGAGAGGCCUAAUAGGUGCCAAGUACAGCUCUAGGCUCUGAGAUACGACAGUGAACCGGACACGCCAGCUCCCCUCCCUGCUCACCCCCACCCAAGAGCUUUCAGGAAGCUGUGGGUGCUCGGAAGGCCGUCCCCCCUCCCGCCUGGGCAGCCAAGAAACGAAUUCUGGAGAAGGAACGUCGAAACUGAAAUCUCAAGGAAGGCGGACGUACCACGGCUGGGACUGAUCGAUCAUGUUCCUAGUUGGACUCCCAGCAUUUGCCACAGAGCCUGGCACAUAACACACGAAUCACUUGAAGAUCUUGCCAAAACAUAUGUUCGGGGUCCCUGGGUCUGCGGUGACGUCUGAGAGUCUGCGCUUCUCUAAGUCCCAGGGGAGGCCGAUGGGCUGGUCUGAGCCACACUCUGAGCUGCCAGGACUUGGCUUCAAA